GACGAACGCUGGCGGCGUGCUUAACACAUGCAAGUCGAACGAUGAAACCUAGCUUGCUAGGUCGAUUAGUGGCGAACGGGUGAGUAACACGUGACUAACCUGCCCCUUUCUCUGGGAAACUGUAGCUAAUACCGGAUACGACCCUCGGCGGCAUCGCCAGGGGGUGGAAAGAAUUUCGGUCAAGGAUGGACUCGCGGCCUAUCAGCUAGUUGGUGAGGUAACGGCUCACCAAGGCGACGACGGGUAGCCGGCCUGAGAGGGUGACCGGCCACACUGGAACUGAGACACGGUCCAGAAUCCUACGGGAGGCAGCAGUGGGGAAUAUUGAACAAUGGGGGCAAGCCUGAUGCAGCCAUGCCGCGUGUAUGAAGAAGGCCUUCGGGUUGUAAAGUACUUUCAGCGGGGAGGAAGGCGGUGAAGUUAAUAACUUCACCGAUUGACGUUACCCGCAGAAGAAGCACCGGCUAA
rnacentral:rRNA from 1 species